CGUAGGUGGCAAGCGUUGUCCGGAUUUAUUGGGUUUAAAGGGUGCGUAGGCGGUCUUGUAAGUCAGUGGUGAAAUACGGCAGCUUAACUGUCGAGGUGCCAUUGAUACUGCAGGACUUGAGUACAGACGAGGUAGGCGGAAUUGACGGUGUAGCGGUGAAAUGCUUAGAUAUCGUCAAGAACACCGAUAGCGAAGGCAGCUUACUAGACUGUAACUGACGCUGAUGCACGAAAGUGUGGGGAUCAAACAGGAUUAGAUACCCUGGUAGUCCACACUGUAAACGAUGAUUACUCGAUGUUGGCGAUACACAGCCAGCGUCUUAGCGAAAGCAAUAAGUAAUCCACCUGGGGAGUACGCCGGCAACGGUG
rnacentral:rRNA from 1 species